rnacentral:rRNA from 1 species
CCUACGGGAGGCAGCAGUGGGGGAUAUUGCACAAUGGGGGGAACCCUGAUGCAGCGACGCCGCGUGGGUGAAGGAGUGCUUCGGCAUGUAAAGCCCUAUCGGCAGGGAAGAAGCAAGACGGUACCUGACUAAGAAGCCCCGGCUAACUACGGGCCAGCAGCCGCGGUAAAAGGUGGGGGGCGAGCGUUAUCCGGAUUCACUGGGUGGAAAGGGAGCGUAGACGGCAAAGCAAGCCAGGGGGGAAGGCCCGGGGCCCAACCCCGGGACUGCCCUUGGAACUGCACGGCUGGAGUGCGGGAGGGGCAGGCGGAAUUCCUGGUGUAGCGGUGAAAUGCGUAGAUAUCAGGAGGAACACCGGCGGCGAAGGCGGCUUGCUGGACUGCGACUGACGUUGAGGCUCGAAAGCGUGGGGAGCGAACAGGAUUAGAUACCCUUGUAGUC